rnacentral:tRNA from 1 species
GCCUUUGGUGUAGUGGUCAGCACGCUCGACGCGUAACCGAGAGUUCCGUGGUUCGAUUCCCGGCGAAGGCG